GGUUAAGCGACUAAGCGUACACGGUGGAUGCCCUGGCAGUCAGAGGCGAUGAAGGACGUGCUAAUCUGCGAUAAGCGUCGGUAAGGUGAUAUGAACCGUUAUAACCGGCGAUUUCCGAAUGGGGAAACCCAGUGUGAUUCGUCACACUAUCAUUAACUGAAUCCAUAGGUUAAUGAGGCGAACCGGGGGAACUGAAACAUCUAAGUACCCCGAGGAAAAGAAAUCAACCGAGAUUCCCCCAGUAGCGGCGAGCGGACGGGGAGCAGCCCAGAGCCUGAAUCAGUGUGUGUGUUAGUGGAAGCGUCUGGAAAGGCGUGCGAUACAGGGUGACAGCCCCGUACACAAAAAUGCACAUAUUGUGAGCUUGAUGAGUAGGGCGGGACACGUGGUAUCCUGUCUGAAUAUGGGGGGACCAUCCUCCAAGGCUAAAUACUCCUGACUGACCGAUAGUGAACCAGUACCGUGAGGGAAAGGCGAAAAGAACCCCGGCGAGGGGAGUGAAAAAGAACCUGAAACCGUGUACGUACAAGCAGUGGGAGCACGCUUAGGCGUGUGACUGCGUACCUUUUGUAUAAUGGGUCAGCGACUUAUAUUCUGUAGCAAGGUUAACCGAAUAGGGGAGCCGAAGGGAAACCGAGUCUUAACUGGGCGUUAAGUUGCAGGGUAUAGACCCGAAACCCGGUGAUCUAGCCAUGGGCAGGUUGAAGGUUGGGUAACACUAACUGGAGGACCGAACCGACUAAUGUUGAAAAAUUAGCGGAUGACUUGUGGCUGGGGGUGAAAGGCCAAUCAAACCGGGAGAUAGCUGGUUCUCCCCGAAAGCUAUUUAGGUAGCGCCUCGUGAAUUCAUCUCCGGGGGUAGAGCACUGUUUCGGCAAGGGGGUCAUCCCGACUUACCAACCCGAUGCAAACUGCGAAUACCGGAGAAUGUUAUCACGGGAGACACACGGCGGGUGCUAACGUCCGUCGUGAAGAGGGAAACAACCCAGACCGCCAGCUAAGGUCCCAAAGUCAUGGUUAAGUGGGAAACGAUGUGGGAAGGCCCAGACAGCCAGGAUGUUGGCUUAGAAGCAGCCAUCAUUUAAAGAAAGCGUAAUAGCUCACUGGUCGAGUCGGCCUGCGCGGAAGAUGUAACGGGGCUAAACCAUGCACCGAAGCUGCGGCAGCGACGCUUAUGCGUUGUUGGGUAGGGGAGCGUUCUGUAAGCCUGCGAAGGUGUGCUGUGAGGCAUGCUGGAGGUAUCAGAAGUGCGAAUGCUGACAUAAGUAACGAUAAAGCGGGUGAAAAGCCCGCUCGCCGGAAGACCAAGGGUUCCUGUCCAACGUUAAUCGGGGCAGGGUGAGUCGACCCCUAAGGCGAGGCCGAAAGGCGUAGUCGAUGGGAAACAGGUUAAUAUUCCUGUACUUGGUAUUACUGCGAAGGGGGGACGGAGAAGGCUAUGUUGGCCGGGCGACGGUUGUCCCGGUUUAAGCGUGUAGGCUGGUUUUCCAGGCAAAUCCGGAAAAUCAAGGCUGAGGCGUGAUGACGAGGCACUACGGUGCUGAAGCAACAAAUGCCCUGCUUCCAGGAAAAGCCUCUAAGCAUCAGGUAACAUCAAAUCGUACCCCAAACCGACACAGGUGGUCAGGUAGAGAAUACCAAGGCGCUUGAGAGAACUCGGGUGAAGGAACUAGGCAAAAUGGUGCCGUAACUUCGGGAGAAGGCACGCUGAUAUGUAGGUGAAGUCCCUUGCGGAUGGAGCUGAAAUCAGUCGAAGAUACCAGCUGGCUGCAACUGUUUAUUAAAAACACAGCACUGUGCAAACACGAAAGUGGACGUAUACGGUGUGACGCCUGCCCGGUGCCGGAAGGUUAAUUGAUGGGGUCAGCGCAAGCGAAGCUCUUGAUCGAAGCCCCGGUAAACGGCGGCCGUAACUAUAACGGUCCUAAGGUAGCGAAAUUCCUUGUCGGGUAAGUUCCGACCUGCACGAAUGGCGUAAUGAUGGCCAGGCUGUCUCCACCCGAGACUCAGUGAAAUUGAACUCGCUGUGAAGAUGCAGUGUACCCGCGGCAAGACGGAAAGACCCCGUGAACCUUUACUAUAGCUUGACACUGAACAUUGAGCCUUGAUGUGUAGGAUAGGUGGGAGGCUUUGAAGUGUGGACGCCAGUCUGCAUGGAGCCGGCCUUGAAAUACCACCCUUUAAUGUUUGAUGUUCUAACGUGGACCCGUGAUCCGGGUUGCGGACAGUGUCUGGUGGGUAGUUUGACUGGGGCGGUCUCCUCCUAAAGAGUAACGGAGGAGCACGAAGGUUGGCUAAUCCUGGUCGGACAUCAGGAGGUUAGUGCAAUGGCAUAAGCCAGCUUGACUGCGAGCGUGACGGCGCGAGCAGGUGCGAAAGCAGGUCAUAGUGAUCCGGUGGUUCUGAAUGGAAGGGCCAUCGCUCAACGGAUAAAAGGUACUCCGGGGAUAACAGGCUGAUACCGCCCAAGAGUUCAUAUCGACGGCGGUGUUUGGCACCUCGAUGUCGGCUCAUCACAUCCUGGGGCUGAAGUAGGUCCCAAGGGUAUGGCUGUUCGCCAUUUAAAGUGGUACGCGAGCUGGGUUUAGAACGUCGUGAGACAGUUCGGUCCCUAUCUGCCGUGGGCGAUGGAGAACUGAGGGGGGCUGCUCCUAGUACGAGAGGACCGGAGUGGACGCAUCACUGGUGUUCGGGUUGUCAUGCCAAUGGCACUGCCCGGUAGCUAAAUGCGGAAGAGAUAAGUGCUGAAAGCAUCUAAGCACGAAACUUGCCCCGAGAUGAGUUCUCCCUGACCCUUUAAGGGUCCUGAAGGAACGUUGAAGACGACGACGUUGAUAGGCCGGGUGUGUAAGCGCAGCGAUGCGUUGAGCUAACCGGUACUAAUGAACCGUGAGGCUUAACCUUACAACGCCGAAGAUGUUUUG
rnacentral:rRNA from 1 species